GGGUAACCUGCCUUAUACCGGGGGAUAACAGCCAGCAUUGGCUGCUAAUACCGCAUAAGCGCACAGAACCGCAUGGUUCCGUGUGAAAAACUCCGGUGGUAUAAGAUGGACCCGCGUUGGAUUAGCUAGUUGGCAGGGCAGCGGCCUACCAAGGCGACGAUCCAUAGCCGGCCUGAGAGGGUGAACGGCCACAUUGGGACUGAGACACGGCCCAAACUCCUACGGGAGGCAGCAGUGGGGAAUAUUGCACAAUGGGGGAAACCCUGAUGCAGCAACGCCGCGUGAGUGAAGAAGUAUUUCGGUAUGUAAAGCUCUAUCAGCAGGAAAGAAAAUGACGGUACCUGACUAAGAAGCCCCGGUUAACUACGUGCCAGCAGCCGCGGUAAUACGUAGGGGGCAAGCGUUAUCCGGAUUUACUGGGUGUAAAGGGAGCGUAGACGGUUUUGCAAGUCUGAAGUGAAAGCCCGGGGCUUAACCCCGGGACUGCUUUGGAAACUGUAGAACUAGAGUGCAGGAGAGGUAAGUGGAAUUCCUAGUGUAGCGGUGAAAUGCGUAGAUAUUAGGAGGAACACCAGUGGCGAAGGCGGCUUACUGGACGGUAACUGACGUUGAGGCUCGAAAGCGUGGGG
rnacentral:rRNA from 1 species